rnacentral:lncRNA from 1 species
UCUUCAGCAUAGCAACAGCAGCGUAGCUGAACAUCUUACGGAUGGCCCAGGGCUCCAAAGGCUCGUUUCCUAAGUGAGAGAGAGCCUGGCUGAAGCUGUAUUACCAUUCAUUCUCCAGCCUCCGAAGUCUCAAAGCAUCACUUCCACCAUACUCUAACUGUCAAGACAAACACAAAGGCCCAGAAACUGCCAGACUGUCUUCUGAAGUGGCUAUAAUAUUUACACUCCCAUCAGCAGUGUAGAAGGGGUCUCACUAUGUUGUCUGGAGUGCUGUGGUGGAGUGGAGUGGCUAUUCACAGCUGAGUUUGCAGAGUAAACCACUACCCUGAAAUCUGGAAAGGCAGGUGCACCCACAGAUCCUCAGCUGAGAUCCAAUUACCUGAAAUAGAAGCUGCCAUUAGGAACACUUAAAAGAGCCUGUUCUGCUGGGACACAGAAUCACUUGCUCCAUCUCAUACAUUGAUGAUGAUUAAUUUGUAUGUGUACCUUCCAAAAAAGAUGGUUGUGUUUGAAUGGAGGCCUUCUGGACAGGAAAAUAUACAGUGAACCCACAUGUUGAAGCUUUCUAGUAUAAUAAAAAUUUCAACUGUUCUGUUGAAUCAUCUGCCUGAUUGGAGGCUACAGAAAAGAUGUCAUCUUAGGAGUGCUUGCUCUGAGUGAGGCUCAUCUUCAAAUCUGAAUGACCACAAGGAGAUUUGAUUAUACAUGUGAACACCUCAGAAGGCACAGCCCACCCAGAAGGCAGACAGGUCAGGCUGCUUUUUCUUCAUUGCUUGGAUUCAAUCCUCCGGGCGGCUCAGGCUCAAACAUAACUUAAGCAUGAUUAAACUUUAGAAGAAGCUGCCAGGAAGACUGUGAAAUCUUCAUGCCCAAGGAUCCCUAAAAUUAGGAGCAACAACCACUUGGCUCAGACGGUUUAUGGAGGCAAAGGUUUGGAUGGGAUUAGAGAUUUCUAAAUGUGAGUUCGUGUCCUCUGCCAGACCACCUUACUUCCACCAUUCCUCAGCAAAUCAAGAAAAACAGGAGAAAAGACAUGCCUUUCCAUAAGUUAAAUCUAUUCUGUUUUAAUUCUAUAUUAUAUCUGCUGUACAACUUCUUUUGUUUGUAACACCAUAUUGUUGCUAGUAACUGGAAAUUAAUUUUCACAUGCCUCAGCUUAGAAAAAUAAAAAGCAGCCCUGCAUCAAU